GGUGAGGUAACCUUUUGGAGCCAGCCGCCGAAGGUGGGACAGAUGAUUGGGGUGAAGUCGUAACAAGGUAGCCGUAUCGGAAGGUGCGGCUGGAUCACCUCCUUUCUAAGG
rnacentral:rRNA from 1 species